rnacentral:rRNA from 1 species
UACAGAGGGUGCAAGCGUUGCUCGGAAUUAUUGGGCGUAAAGGGUGGGUAGGUGGUCUCGUUUGUCUGGGGUGAAAGCCCUGAGCUCAACUCAGGAAGUGCCUUAGAAACGGCGAGACUAGAGUGCUGGAGAGGGUCGUGGAAUUCCCGGUGUAGCGGUGAAAUGCGUAGAGAUCGGGAGGAACACCAGAGGCGAAGGCGGCGACCUGGACAGUAACUGACACUAAACCACGAAAGUGUGGGGAGCAAACAGG